ACACGCGGUGAACUGAAACAUCUCAGUAGCUGCAGGAAGAGAAAACAAAUGUGAUUCCCAUAGUAGCGGCGAGCGAAAUGGGAAGAGGCCAAACGAUCAUGCUUGCAUGAUCGGGUUGUAGGACUCAAGAAUGGACGAUUGUUGUUAGUUGAACACGUUGGAGAGCGUGGCCAAAGAAGGUGACAGCCCUGUAGGCGAAAACAACAUGAACCAAUGAGGAUCCUGAGUACGGCGGAACACGAGAAAUUCCGUCGGAAUCAGCCGGGACCAUCCGGCAAGCCUAAAUACUACCUAGUGACCGAUAGUGAACCAGUACCGUGAGGGAAAGGUGAAAAGAACCCCGGAAGGGGAGUGAAAAGCACUUGAAACCGUAUGCUUACAAGUAGUCAGAGCCCGUUAAUGGGUGAUGGCGUACCUUUUGUAGAAUGGACCGGCGAGUGACGAUUUCAUGCAAGGUUAAUCUGAAGAAGAG
rnacentral:rRNA from 1 species